UACGGAGGGGACUAGCGUUGUUCGGAAUUACUGGGCGUAAAGCGCACGUAGGCGGAUUUGUAAGUCAGGGGUGAAAUCCCGGGGCUCAACCUCGGAACUGCCUUUGAUACUGGCGAUCUCGAGUCCGGGAGAGGUGAGUGGAACUGCGAGUGUAGAGGUGAAAUUCGUAGAUAUUCGCAAGAACACCAGUGGCGAAGGCGGCUCACUGGCCUGGUACUGACGCUGAGGUGCGAAAGCGUGGGGAGCAAACAGG
rnacentral:rRNA from 1 species